rnacentral:lncRNA from 1 species
AUCGACUCCAUCAUAUUUGCACACAAGAGACAAAAUAAAGACACUGCUAAUUACUUACUUAACUAGCUAAUUACUUACUUAACUAGGCAUGCAUGAAAGGAUUAGCAAUUAAUUAGAUAAACUAAGCAUGACUAGCGAGUACUAGAAAUAGCAAGCCAAGUGUUAAGAUUAUAACAGUGCUAUCACGUAAGAAGUAAUGAUAGUCCAAUCAUUGAAUACUGUACCUAGAUAGCAACCCUUUCAAAGCACAACAACGCUACCUGAUGCUUUCGUCAAUUAACUGAACUGCUAGACCAGAGUUGCCUGACCUGCUUGUGUGCUGCGCUGUUGACCUGUGCCAAAACUACCUGGUGACUGUGCCGUGCUACUUGAUGGGCCAGGAAGGAAAAAUGGCCUGCUGGCCUCCUGUCUCUCACGUCUUGGGCCGCGAGCUGCUUUGGCAGCAAACUGGGCUGCUGGCUCCAGCACGCUGGCCUGGGCCACUGGCUCCUGCUGGGCUGCCGCGAUGCACCCAACCUGCUACUGCCUUGCCUGGGCCAAGUUCGUGGCUUGGCUCGCCACCCACUGCUGCACUAUCGCGGGCCUGCUCGCUGCUCUGGCUGCUGUGCGUGCUUCCUCCUCCCGAGUGACCUGCGCAAGAAACAGAGACCGAACAACGAAGAACAGGGAGAACAGGAAGAACAGUUCUAACGCAUGAAUUUCAAAUCACGAGAACUCCUUCGAUACUCCACGGAUCAAGAUGAAAUUUGAGACAAGGAUGUAAUACCCCGAGGGCAAAUAGAUCCAUGAGACAAAUCCUGAAAAGCUCAAGUAUUCAUCACUAAUCUUGGAGAAAACCGAAACCCUAACUCAACAACACGAUUUGGAGGAAAUUCAAAAUCCAAGCCGGAUCCGUGAGAGAUUUGGAAGGGGAACGAAUCAAAAAUGCUCCCUAAGGUCCUAGCAUCAUUUCCCUUCAACCAAGUUCACAAGAUUCGGCUCAAACACGAAGAACGAAAAUUCCCCAAAAAUAGCUCCGAAAAUAGGGAAAAAGAAAAACGCUCGGGAAUCAAAGAUUUAGCACGAUUUGAGACAACAAACAAAGCUAAAUCACGAGAACAUCUUCUAUACAAGAUGAGGACUAGCCUCCUCCCUUCAUCCACCCACUAAAGAUGAAGAAAUCAAGAGAAAAGAGUAAUCACUCUCUAAUCUCCUUCUCUCCUCUCACUUUAAGCACAUGACUAGCCUCUAAGCAAAUAGAUAAUGAGUUGCUAAGCAAAGAGGUGCUGAAAUAACCAGCCCCCCAUCCCUAUUUAUAGUCCAGGACGAAAGACUAUACUACCCCUACAGCUACAACUAAGAUAACUACCCACGCAGGGGCAUUUUGGUCCAAGUUUUUAUCCGCGCAUCGGACGGACACGCCGCCUUCACGACUUUGCUUCGCCUCGACGCAAGCUUCGCGAUGACGCCACGUGCCCUCUUUCUCGAAGCUCCGGCCGCACCGGGCUCGCCCCCGGUUUUGAGGCCCAAACCGGGAAACCUGCCUGCGCGGUGGUUUUGAGGCCCAAACCACCCAAACCGUCCAUUGACGCGUGUCCGGCCUCCGCCAAGCCUCCCGCUUGACUCGACCGACGCCGUCUCAUCCUGUCAUGCCCUCUCGCCAUUUCGUGCACCAUGUGGACUGCCCGUGACUUCGCUCGGACUCCUCGGGUCCAUCGGUCCAAGCCUACUCGCGUUCAUCCUUCACCGCCCUUGGUCCAUCGGCAUGAACCUUUCGCUUGACCUUCACCGCACGCCGUCGACCGCCACGUCGCAUCCUACACCUGCACAUCACAAGCCAAGAGCAACAUCAAACCAACAAAACGUUGUCAAUCACUCAUCAUCCAAGGGUGACCACCAUUGGUCCUCAAUCUCCCCCUUGAUGAGUGCAUUGACAACACCCCACAAAGUCAUAGUAUUGAAACAAAAAAAAAGAAACUCAAAGUAGAAAAAUCUCAAUCCCCUAAGAUAAGGGCAACGGCUCUACACAACUGAGAUAAAAUCAUGUGAUCCCUCAAGAAGAGGCAGAAAACGGGCUCAACACCAAUCACAUGAAAAUCCAAACUCAAAUAAAAAAACCGGCUCCUCAAGAAGAGGUAAACAGCUCAACGCAACCGGUACAAGGGCAUAAGAGCAUAACAACUCAUAAAUACUCCCCCUAAACAUAUGCACUCCCCCUGAAAUCAUGCAUACAUGCAAAGUCUCCCCCUUGAUAGAUGAAAGAGUUCAUGUAGAUUUCUCUCCCCCUUGUUGACAAUGCAACCAUCAAGAAAAGCAUGAAAGCACAAAGUGCAUGCCAUGGAAAUGCAGAACCUAACAAGCUUCUCAAAUAUAUCACAAUGCACUCUCAAAGGCUACUAGGGAGAUAAAGCUUGAUAGAUCAUAAGAAACAAUAGCAUCGCCAACAAGAUGAUAUCAAGUUACAACAGUGGAGGUGAAGCAAGUAUCAAGUUUUAGCAAUGUAUAAAAAGAUCACCACAUGAGCAUUCACCUAGUUAAGAAUCACCCAAGCAAGAAUAGACUAGUCCAUCAAGAGCUCAUACUAGGAAAAUCCAUUCUCAACAAGAGAUCAUUGCAAACACCCACAUAUGCAUCACAAGUCAUGUUUAACGCUUGUUGAAACCAAGUGUCUACU